UUUCUUCUGCAUUUCCAUGGCUCUGUCCAUAUCUCCAUUAACUCUUCUUCAACUGCUGGCACUUGGCUGCUCAAAACAAUUUUCCUCUUCCCUUGUGGAAAUGAGAGUGGAGUGUCUGCUGCCUUUUUGGCAGCGGGCCAGAGUGCCAGGUAAUCUCCGUGGUAAAGCUUAAUCCUAAUUAGCAUGGUGUCACAGGGAAGCUGACGCUGCUGUUGUCACAGCAGCAAGUGCAGUAGACAGGGGGUGUCAAAGUCAGGCUCCCAAGGACCCGAAGAACAUAAUAAAGUCACCAGAGACCGGGGAUAUGGGCUCUGCCACUCUUCUGAUGCUGACCUUUUCAUGGGAAGUGCUUCUCAUCUCAUUCCUGUGAAGAAUGCCAGCCUAAGUCCCAGAGUCAAGACCUUUGAGCAUACGGGCGAACUUCCAAGAGCCUUACCCUCAACUGUCAGUGAGGGUUGAUAUCAUCAGAUCUCAGCUUUGGAGAAUGUAUUGGAUUCCCUUUAUGACACUGCUAAGUAGGCAGAGAGCUAUAUCUGAGAAGAAGCAGGUUAAAUGGAAAACUACUUGAGGAUCUGCAGCCACUGUCUCCAAGGAAAUAUUCAUGAAAAGCUAACCUGAAUCUUCAUGUGACAACAUUUCUCUUUCAAUCUAUGAAGAAACCUUGCUAUUAAAGCAAGCACUUUGCUUGAUGAGUAGUAUAAACUCGAUCCAUAUGAAGAAUGAACUUUAC